rnacentral:ncRNA from 1 species
AUGAAGACAGCAGGAGAGUGGCAAGCACUAAACGUGUAAGCCCGCCGAAGAAGUAAGCAACUAUGCCGUUUGUCGUCCCGAUGAACUCUGGUUGUAAAUCUUUCAGGCACCUUACUGAUCGCCCUGA